rnacentral:lncRNA from 1 species
CUCUUGCGGUUCCCCCCGGCCUGCGCGGAGCUCCACCACCCGCCCUGGCGCCGGCGGCCCCGCGUCGUCAACAGCGCGAGGUGUCGGGUGGCCCAGGGUGUUUGGGCCGCACCGGGAGGCUGUUGGAAUGACAAGGACGUCCCCGGGGCCAAACGAAAACAACCCCACCCCCUGCGGCGCCACCCGGCUGGGAGCGGAGAGAGACUGACGGCGGAGGCGGGGGUCAGGGCGCGGACCCGGACCCCAGCCCCAUGGGGGACAGAGUCCAAAAAAACCGGCCGGGUGGAGGAUGCAGCCGGGCGUGGUGGCUACAAGGAAGUGCCCUGGUGUUAAGAACUCAGCCUCUGAAACCCGCCGCCCAGCUUCGAGUCAGCGACGUACUUUUGUUGUCCCGGCCUUAGUAUCCCCGCUGCAAUAAGAGGUACUCAGCUCAAACCAUCUGGUGUAAGCUCCUAAAGGCAGAAAUCAAGCUGACCUAAGCAAAGACCUGAAGGAGCUAUGAGGACAUCUGGCAGAAGAGGUAAUGCUACGGGCAAGAGGCUGGCCAGCGGCUAUAAACAAGUUAAGGGACUCCUCUGAGCCUCAACAUCCCAUCCCUGGAAUGGAGAGAAGGACGUCUGCCCUGCUUAUCUCAAAAGGACAUCGAUGAGAUCAUAGAAGCCCAAGCUGAGGUUACAUCUGAUGCUAAAAACUAGACGAGAAAGGGUCUGUCUGACCCUCAAGGUCAGCAAUGUGUGUGCAACUCCCCUCUCGGGGUCUGGGGACGCAGCCAUGUGUUCCAUCGCACACCAGGCUUUGGGGAUAUUGUAGGGCUCAGACCGCCGACUGCUAGUUUAUUAAAAGAGCAGCUGCCAUCCCGCCGCGCAGUGGGACAGAGAGCUGCAGCCCGGCGCAGGCUCGACCCCGCAGGGAACCGCGACCCGGGGAUAGGCAGCUCUGGACUGCACUGAUCUGGGACUCUGUCGGCUCUACAGACACACACACGCGCGCGCACACACACACACAUGCACACACGCACGCACACACACACGCACGCACAGCCGCUAGGCCUAGAGUUUAUUUUUCCAGGGGCUGGUGGGGACUCCGCUCCCGCGGCGGGCGGCGGCACUGGAAUGUUAAUUGAAACGGAGCUGGCGAGCGCGGCGCAGAUAAGCGUCGCCCAGCAGCGUCCCCGCCUGCGGCUCCCCGAAUCAGCGAUCCGGGAAGGCCCCGCCGCCUCUCUGGCCGCUGAGGGUUUUCUUUUCCACGCUGAAGGAGUGGAACGCGCGCGGAGGCAGCUCGGCGCCCGCAAACCCCCGGAGUCAGCCCCCGACGGUCUGUCCCAGAACUAAACGGUCUCCGCCACCCAAAGCCGAGAAGCUAAGAGGCCGGCUGGGGGAGGGUGACACGGAGAAAUGGAGAAGCCCACCCAGCGGUUACAUACCGGCAGAUUUUUAUUUCCUUUAACUGGUUGGUUCUUCUAAACAUUUAAUGCAAGAAAUCUCUCGGCCCGCUUCACUUUACUCUCCACCCAUGCUCUUCCCCUAACCCUGAGAAUUUUGCACAGAUUUUCGGGGUUCGCGCGGAGCGCCUCUGAAAGUGAUGGCGGACAAACCGUCAAAAAGGCCUCAGCAUAGCAAUUUAGGAAAAGAUCGUAUCAGAUCCUUAAUUCACACCAUACACUCUAAUACACUCGAAAGUAAGCAAAGAAAUUAUAACAAAUACCAGAAUAAAAUAUGGGUGAAUUCCUUUUUAACCUCAGUGUAGGAAAAGAAAGGUCUUCUCACCAUGACUCAAAUCAAGAAGCAAGUAAACAUAACACAAAUGAUUACAUUUUAUAAAAUGCAUGGUAAGAAAUCACUAUAAAAGAAGUCAAAAGACAAUUGUCAAACAGGAAGAAAAUAUUUGCAACAUAUAGCACACAUAACCAAAGUAACUGAUAUUGAGAAAACUUAAAAAUUGAAAUUGGGAGAUGGAUACAAUUUGCGUUUGUGUAUGUAUGUGUAUAUAUUUAUGUGUUUUUAAUUGUUAUGUAUAUUAUACAUGUAUAUGUAUAGAUACAUACACAUAUGUAUAUAUCCCUUAAACAUAUAAAAGGAUGUUGCACCUCACUUGUAAUUAGAGAAAUGCAAAUUAAAAACAACACUGAGAUACUGUUUCUCACCUAUCAAAUUUGUAAGAAUUAAGAGGCAUGAUCAUGCAUUCCGUUGCCCGGGCUAGCUGGGAAGCAGGCACUCCCAUACAGUACUGGUGGAAUGCAAACCUGUAGAACCUUUCUGGAGAGGAGAACUCCUAAAAAUACUAUAUGUGCAUUUAUGUUUCACCUAUGGUCCCAUUUCUUAGAAAUUUGUCUUUCGACAAAUUCAAUUGACAAUUGUCUUUUGACUCUGAAGACAUGCCUCCAACAAUAUAAAAACACAUACAAACUUAUUAUUGUAAAGUACUGGAAAACUCUAAAUACUCAUUCACAGAACAGUGGUUGAAUAAACUUUGGUACAUUCGUGCAAUGGAGUACUAGGCAACUAUAGAAAACAAUAAGGAAGACCUCUUUGGACCAAUAUGAUGUGACUGCUGAAUAUAUUGUUAAGUGAAAAAAAGGUAACGGCAAAAGAGUAUCUUCAAGAAUCAAUGAGAGCUGGGAACAGCUCAUGUUCUGGGGAGGAGGCUGUGCCGGCCAUGGGGCUUUGGGUGUGUGAUUGACUGCAGGUGUGCUUGCCUUGUGGCAGCAGAAAAAGGAUGCACCAGUGAUCAACCCGUCUCUUAAAUAUGGUAAUCAGAUCAACAUCAUAGAUUUUAAUGAUAAAAGUAUCAUUAUAAAUGAAAACGUUAUCCAUCAAGUGGAUGAAAUUAGGCACAUUAAUGCCAGUCCGGCAGACAAAGGUGAGCUGGUGACAUUCUACAAUAAAAGUUAUUGUGUCUUCUCCUGACUGGACUGGAUACUCCUGGAGGGUCCUGAAGUGUGUACUAUUUAUCUUUGUGUCUGAGUGCCUUGUAUAUGGGGUGACCAUAUGGACAGUUGUGGUUAGUUUAUACUUGGCACACCAUCUAGUUAGUGUUAAAGGACACUUUCCACUUUCCCAGUGUUAAAGGACACUGGCCUUUCCCAGUUAGGCCAGGUGCAGCAGCUUACUCCUGUAAUCCCAACGCUUUGGGAGGUCAAGGUGGGAGGAUCACUCGAGGCUGGGAGUUCCAGACCAGCCUAGGCAACAUAGUGAGGCUCUGUCUCUAAAAAAAAAUGUAUCCCAGUUUGUGUGACAGAUUCUAUGAUUACCUUUUCCAUGUAAUAGGCACUCUCAGAAAAUAUCUUCUGAAUUGAAUGGAAUAAUUUGGAACAUAAUGAAGUAAUGGUUUUGCUAAAAUGUUUUAAAUGUUGAGUAUAUGUUUCUACGGAGUGAGUGUACUAACGCGUACUGAGCAAAAAAAAUUAGGAAGAAACAUAAAAGGCAAUUACUAAAUAAAUGCAUUGAUCAUAGUACAUGAAAGAGCACCAUAUGGGAAAUCAGGAGAUAGAUGUGGCCUCAAAUAAGUUUCUUAACCUUCCUUUCUCUUAGUUUCCUCAUUUAUAAACUAGAAAUCAUAACUACUUUACACAUCUCACUGAGUUAUUUUGAGAACCAGUGAGAUGAGAUAUAAAUAUGCAUUUUUUAAAAAAGGAAACCAUACAGGAAAUAAUCUAGAUCUGUUUGCCAAAUCGUUCCCCAUUAUUUUUCAACUCUUCAUUUCUGCUCUAGAGGGAACUGAUGUGGGAGCAGGGCCACAGAAGUGCAGAACAAUGGCCCCAGGAUUGGUAGUGAGAAAACCUGGAUUCUAAUUUUCCUCUGCUAUGUGAUAGCCGUGUGAUCUUGGACCACAUGUAAUCUCUGUGUUCUUUAUCUGUAAAAUAAAGAUGACUAAGCUAAAGCCA